ACUCCUACGGGAGGCAGCAGUGAGGAAUAUUGGUCAAUGGGCGGAAGCCUGAACCAGCCAAGUAGCGUGCAGGAUGACGGCCCUAUGGGUUGUAAACUGCUUUUAUACAGGAAUAAAGUUAGCCACGUGUGGUUAUUUGUAGGUACUGUAUGAAUAAGGACCGGCUAAUUCCGUGCCAGCAGCCGCGGUAAUAC
rnacentral:rRNA from 1 species